rnacentral:rRNA from 1 species
CCUACGGGAGGCAGCAGUAGGGAAUAUUGCUCAAUGGGGGGAAACCCUGAAGCAGCAACGCCGCGUGGAGGAUGAAGGUUUUCGGAUUGUAAACUCCUUUUGUUAGAGAAGAUAAUGACGGUAUCUAACGAAUAAGCACCGGCUAACUCCGUGCCAGCAGCCGCGGUAAUACGGAGGGUGCAAGCUUUACUCGGAAUCACUGGGCAUAAAGAGCGCGUAGGCGGGAUAGCAAGUCAGAUGUGAAAUCCUAUGGCUUAACCAUAGAACUGCAUUUGAAACUGUUAUUCUAGAGUAUGGGAGAGGUAGGUGGAAUUCUUGGUGUAGGGGUAAAAUCCGUAGAGAUCAAGAGGAAUACUCAUUGCGAAGGCGACCUGCUAGAACAUAACUGACGCUGAUGCGCGAAAGCGUGGGGAGCAAACAGGAUUAGAUACCCGAGUAGUC